rnacentral:rRNA from 1 species
AUGCCCGAGCGACGCUCCCAAUCUAGGAGCGGCACCAGGACGACCACGCCCCCGAAGCCUAAACUGCAAGUUUAUUUUCAGAGUACUUGUUGUGUGCAAAAUCCUACCCUGGCGCAUGUUGUUGGUUGUUUAAUUCUGGAAUCACAAGUUAAUGCAUUUUGCUAUGUGGGUACCCAGCCAUCCAGUAUGUCGUCUGCAUUCCUAAUGGCUCUUCUAUCCGUGCAUCAACACCAAUAUUGGAUACAAGCUUUCCAAUCGCCACCACAUCUUGGUCUGGAAGGACAGAAGCGGCAUGAGAUUUCUUAG